GAUGAACGCUGGCGGCGUGCCUAAUACAUGCAAGUCGAGCGAACGGACGAGAAGCUUGCUUUUCUGAUGUUAGCGGCGGACGGGUGAGUAACACGUGGAUAACCUACCUAUAAGACUGGGAUAACUUCGGGAAACCGGAGCUAAUACCGGAUAAUAUUUUGAACCGCAUGGUUCAUAAGUGAAAGACGGUCUUGCUGUCACUUAUAGAUGGAUCCGCGCUGCAUUAGCUAGUUGGUAAGGUAACGGCUUACCAAGGCAACGAUGCAUAGCCGACCUGAGAGGGUGAUCGGCCACACUGGAACUGAGACACGGUCCAGACUCCUACGGGAGGCAGCAGUAGGGAAUCUUCCGCAAUGGGCGAAAGCCUGACGGAGCAACGCCGCGUGAGUGAUGAAGGUCUGCGGAUCGUAAAACUCUGUUAUUAGGGAAGAACAUAUGUGUAAGUAACUGUGCACAUCUUGACGGUACCUAAUCAGAAAGCCACGGCUAACUACGU
rnacentral:rRNA from 1 species